GCGUGAGUGAUGAAGGCCUUCGGGUUGUAAAGCUCUUUUACCCGGGAAGAUAAUGACUGUACCGGGAGAAUAAGCCCCGGCUAACUUCGUGCCAGCAGCCGCGGUAAUACGAAGGGGGCUAGCGUUGUUCGGAAUUACUGGGCGUAAAGCGCACGUAGGCGGCUUCUUAAGUUAGGGGUGAAAGCCCAGGGCUCAACCCUGGAAAUGCCCUUAAGACUGGGAAGCUUGAACACGGGAGAGGUGAGUGGAAUUCCGAGUGUAGAGGUGAAAUUCGU
rnacentral:rRNA from 1 species